rnacentral:lncRNA from 1 species
CUUGCAGCUCCUCCCAGCAGUAUCGUCUGCUGAGUUAUCUAGCAAGGCUCCUUUCCCAUCAUCCAGACACUGACAGCACUGGGCAAAACUGACUCUGGCAUCCCACAUCACCCAGUCCAAGGCAUCCAUUCACCUGGAGAGCAAACCUUUCCAACUGACCUGCAGACACUUGGUAACCCAGCUGCUUCUUGCAAGGCCUCAGUGAUAACUGCUGACAAGUCAGAGAUAUUCUUUUGUCAGACAAGGAAGCUCAGCCAGUUGUAAAGCCCUGAAUGCAGAACACUUUGUGAAAAAUGACAGAAUUUUAAUGAGAAAGUGAACAACAUGCCAUCAACACCCUUUCGCCAGUAAAAAUGGAAAAACAUCAAGCUUUAAAUCAUGUUCCCUCCACACCUUUGGACAUCUGCGAUUCUGUCUGAGUCCUCAAAAUCUGCUAUAUCUAUCACCAGGUGCAGCCUUUAAACGCUGAGGAGCUUUCUGCUUCAUUGGUUGGCAUGGCAACAGUUGUCAAAUCAUCCCUUGAUAAUGCUCUUUAAUUGAUUGUAUAAAUUAUUUCUGAGAUACGUGAUUGCAAAACGAUGCACUGAAGCUCUUAAGCGCACUGAUCGGAGUCUGUGCAUUUAAAACCACACUGCAUUCGCUGACCCUAGCCGGGAACCUGACCCUCUUACAGGCCUGAAAUUCUUUAGACGAAGCAUAAACAUCAAGCAUUGAGAAAAAAGUUC